rnacentral:rRNA from 1 species
ACAAGCAGCGGAGCAUGUGGUUAAUUUCGAAGCAACGCGAGAACCUUACCUAGACUUGACAUCUCCUGAAUUACCCGUAACUGGGAAGCUCUUCGGAGCAGGAAGACAGGUGGUGCAUGGUUGUCGUCAGCUCGUGUCGUGAGAUGUUGGGUUAAGUCCCGCAACGAGCCGCAACCCCUAUUGUUAGUUGCCAUCAUUCAGUUGGGCACUCUAGCGAGACUGCCGGUAAUAAACCGGAGGAAGGUGGGAUGACGUCAAAUCAUCAUGCCCCUUAUGACCUGGGCUACACACGUGCUACAAUGGUUGGUACAACGAGUUGCGAGUCGGUGACGGCGAGCUAAUCUCUUAAAGCCAAUCUCAGUUCGGAUUGUAGGCUGCAACUCGCCUACAUGAAGUCGGAAUCGCUAGUAAUCGCGGAUCAGCACGCCGCGGUGAAUACGUUCCCGGGCCUU